CUAGGCUGCUGGCGUCGAGGUCUCCGGAGCGAUCCGGAGCUAAGAGGGAAUCCGGUGACGCGCGGUCUUGCGCGAAACCCGGAGCUGCCCCCGCAACUGUGAGCGGUGAGUUUCCGGCCAUGAAGUCACUGGCGUCCGCGCCGGGAAGACGGCCGGAAGCGACGACCCGCGAGCCAGGAGACCUGCCUCGACAGCAGUGAGGAU
rnacentral:ncRNA from 2 species